rnacentral:rRNA from 1 species
GAUGAACGCUGGCGGCGUGCCUAAUACAUGCAAGUCGAGCGAACAGAUGAGGAGCUUGCUCCUCUGACGUUAGCGGCGGACGGGUGAGUAACACGUGGAUAACCUACCUAUAAGACUGGGAUAACUUCGGGAAACCGGAGCUAAUACCGGAUAAUAUAUUGAACCGCAUGGUUCAAUAGUGAAAGACGGUUUUGCUGUCACUUAUAGAUGGAUCCGCGCCGCAUUAGCUAGUUGGUAAGGUAACGGCUUACCAAGGCAACGAUGCGUAGCCGACCUGAGAGGGGGGUCGGCCACACGGGAGCUUAGACACGGUCCAGACUCCUACGGGAGGCAGCAGUAGGGAAUCUUCCGCAAUGGGCGAAAGCCUGACGGAGCAACGCCGCGUGAGUGAUAAAGGUCUUCGGAUCGUAAAACUCUGUUAUUAGGGAAGAACAACUGUGUAAGUAACUGUGCACGCCUUGACGGUACCUAAUCAGAAAGCCACGGCUAACUACGUG